rnacentral:rRNA from 1 species
CAAGACCUUGCGCUAAAGGAGCGGCCGAUGUCUGAUUAGCUAGUUGGUGGGGUAAAGGCUUACCAAGGCAACGAUCAGUAGUUGGUCUGAGAGGACGGCCAACCACACUGGGACUGAGACACGGCCCAGACUCCUACGGGAGGCAGCAGUGGGGAAUUUUGGACAAUGGGCGAAAGCCUGAUCCAGCCAUGCCGCGUGAGUGAAGAAGGCCUUCGGGUUGUAAAGCUCUUUUAGUCGGAAAGAAAGAGUUGCAAUGAAUAAUUGUGAUUUAUGACGGUACCGGCAGAAAAAG